rnacentral:rRNA from 1 species
CUACGGGCGGCAGCAGUGGGGAAUAUUGCACAAUGGGCGCAAGCCUGAUGCAGCAACGCCGUGUGAGUGAUGAAGGUCUUCGGAUUGUAAAACUCUGUCCUAGGGGAAGAAAAAAAUGACGGUACCCUAGGAGGAAGCCCCGGCUAACUACGUGCCAGCAGCCGCGGUAAUACGUAGGGGGCAAGCGUUAUCCGGAAUCACUGGGCGUAAAGGGUGCGUAGGUGGCCUAGCAAGCCAGGGGUGAAAGGCAUUGGCUUAACCAAUGUAAGCCUUUGGAACUGUUGGGCUUGAGUGCAGGAGAGGUAAGUGGAAUUCCUAGUGUAGAGGUGAAAUUCGUAGAUAUUAGGAGGAACACCAGUGGCGAAGGCGACUUACUGGACUGUAACUGACACUGAGGCACGAAAGCGUGGGGAGCGAACAGGAUUAGAUACCCCAGUAGUC